rnacentral:rRNA from 1 species
AACGAACGCUGGCGGCAUGCCUAACACAUGCGAGUCGAACGAGACCUUCGGGUCUAGUGGCGCACGGGUGCGUAACGCGUGGGAACCUGCCCUUAGGUUCGGAAUAACUCCCCGAAAGGGGUGCUAAUACCGGAUAAUGUCUUCGGACCAAAGAUUUAUCGCCUUUGGAUGGGCCCGCGUUGGAUUAGCUAGUUGGUAGGGUAAAAGCCUACCAAGGCGACGAUCCAUAGAUGGUCUGAGAGGAUGAUCAGCCACACUGGGACUGAGACACGGCCCAGACUACUACGGGAGGCAGCAGUGGGGAAUAUUGGACAAUGGGCGAAAGCCUGAUCCAGCAAUGCCGCGUGAGUGAUGAAGGCCUUAGGGUUGUAAAGCUCUUUUACCCGGGAUGAUAAUGACAGUACCGGGAGAAUAAGCUCCGGCUAACUCCGUG